rnacentral:tRNA from 1 species
GGGUCCUUAGCUCAGUGGUAGAGCACUACCUUGACACGGUAGGGGUCGCAGGUUCGAAACCUGCAGGACCCA